UGGGGAAUAUUGGACAAUGGGCGCAAGCCUGAUCCAGCCAUGCCGCGUGAGUGAUGAAGGCCCUAGGGUUGUAAAGCUCUUUCACCGGUGAAGAUAAUGACGGUAACCGGAGAAGAAGCCCCGGCUAACUUCGUGCCAGCAGCCGCGGUAAUACGAAGGGGGCUAGCGUUGUUCGGAUUUACUGGGCGUAAAGCGCACGUAGGCGGACUUUUAAGUCAGGGGUGAAAUCCCGGGGCUCAACCCCGGAACUGCCUUUGAUACUGGAAGUCUUGAGUAUGGUAGAGGUGAGUGGAAUUACGAGUGUAGAGGUGAAAUUCGUAGAUAUUCGGAGGAACACCAGUGGCGAAGGCGGCUCACUGGACCAUUACUGACGCUGAGGUGCGAAAGCGUGGGGAGCAAACAGG
rnacentral:rRNA from 1 species